rnacentral:rRNA from 1 species
GCAUGGACCACGUAUGGUUGAGUGUCGUA